GAUGAACGCUGGCGGCGUGCUUAACACAUGCAAGUCGAACGGAAAGGCUCCUGCUUGCAGGGGUACUCGAGUGGCGAACGGGUGAGUAACACGUGGGUGAUCUGCCCUGCACUUCGGGAUAAGCCUGGGAAACUGGGUCUAAUACCGGAUAGGACGAUGGUUUGGAUGCCAUUGUGGAAAGUUUUUCGGUGUGGGAUGAGCUCGCGGCCUAUCAGCUUGUUGGUGGGGUAAUGGCCUACCAAGUCGUCGACGGGUAGCCGGCCUGAGAGGGUGUACGGCCACAUAGGGAAUGAGAUACGGCACAGACUCAUACGGGAGGAAGCAGUGGGGAAUAUUGCACAAUGGGCGCAAGCCUGAUGCAGCGACGCCGCGUGGGGGAUGAAGGACUUCGGGUUGUAGACUCCUUUCGCUAGGGACGAAGAGCAAGUGACGGUACCUGGAGAAGAAGCACCGGCUAAAUACGUG
rnacentral:rRNA from 1 species